ensembl:lncRNA
AUCAACACUCCCACUCAAGUGGUUUGAGAAAUACCAACUUUCUACUCCUCAGUCACAUAUAAGGCAAUAACACCGCUGCACCCAUUGCUGAGCGUCCCGGGAUACUGCACUAACUUGGAAUGCUACCAGGACCCCAGCAUCACAUCCUACCAGGACCCCAGCAUCACAUCCUACCAGGACCCCAGCAUCACAUCCUAUCAGGAGCCUAGCAUCACAUCCUACCAGGAGCCUAGCAUCACAUCCUACCACUCAUUACCCAUCCAGGUACCCCGGAGUACCAAUCUAUCCAGGUACCCCGGAGUUACGAGUACCCAUCCAUCCAGGUACCCCACUUUGACAACCACUGACCUAGGCAUGAGGAAAACUUUGGUAGUUUUAACAUUCUCACUCCAUAUUGAAAAAUUAUUCAUGAUAAAUGACUGAAAUAUGACCAAAACACCAUGACUACCAAUAACAUUCCUAUGCUCCUUUACUUCUGAAAUAGUGGUGGUCGUUGUAAUGAGGCGUCACGAUGUAUGGUCCGAUAGCUAAUGUCAUAAUAAAAAAAUAUUUUUCAGGAUUCCAUUAUGUACUCCAUACAGCUAAGGAAAUCACAUUUUAAACUGGGGAACAUGGGACACAUGGAUUAUUUCACUUUCCCACGCCAAUGGAAAGGAGGCAAUGUUCCAGUGUAUUUGGCCUUCUUGCAUCACUUUGGAUUUUGAUACCCAUUUUGAGAUGAUCCAAGGAUAAUCAUUUUAAACCUUUGUAGUAAAAUGAGUGUCCAGAGCUAGUCCAGGUCACUGCAACAACACAUUUAAAAAAACACAUUUGUAAAGGAUAUUUAAUGAUCAUAUUGAAUAUAAGGAAGUUGUGUGAAAAGUAUCCACGGCUGGAAUUUAUGACCCAAAGAAAGUUUCUUUCCGCAUGCAGUCAGUACGAACACUUGAAGCGAAGGGUCAAUCCUGCUGCUCUACACCUGGAACAUUAAGCAUCCACUAUAAGUACAAAUUAUAGCUCAUAUUUUCUAUGUAAUCAUUAUCAAAUAUAAACACAUAUCGCCCUCAUGAAAUUAAAACAUUGAGGAAACACUAUCUCUCGCUUGAUCGCUUUUCAGGUAUGUUGUCGAUGUUUAAACCUUGUAGGCUAGGCUUGACUGGAUUGAGUUGGUGGCGAGAGUGUUUAGGGGUUUGAGCGUGUGUGUGAGCAAAGACCUGCUCGAAAGCAUAGAGCGACUCGUGGCCGUGCCAAGUGCAGCCCCCAUUUUGUAUUAACAGUGAAGUCACGUGUACAUGUUGCAAUACAUUUGCAAAUUUAUCUCAUUUUCGAUUUCUGUAAUGGGUUUUAUGCACUGUGAUGGUUUUGGGUUUGCAGUUUUUGAAAGAGAUAUAAAAUUAAAGUUACCAUUGAGGAAACACCGUAUCACUCUUGUGAUAAUUUCUCCGCCUUUCCGGGACGUAACAUGUUUGAAUGAAUUUGUGUGUGUGUGUCUUCCAGAAAAUGAUAUUAUACUAAUUAGAAUAUAACAAUAGGUAGCCAAAUAUUUUCAGUGAAUAUCUAAUAAGGCCAUCCCGGUCCAUUCCUUCAGUCUGUUUCCAUGGUGAUUGUGACCCCCCUUCUCCUUCAUCUGAAGCCAUAUGAGAAGACAUACAUCGACUCCAUUUUGUUAAUUUUCCAUAUCUGGCUCUGGAUGUUACUCUAAAGAAAAUAAGCAAUAAUUAAAAAGAAUCCUGCAGAGAAUAUUUUACACCAUGUCAACAGUUUAUUUGACAAUAUUUCAGAAUACCCUUCAGUAAACAAGAUUUCUUUUUUUUUAGCAAAAUGUAAUAUAUGCGUACUCUCGCC